CCCUAUGGGGUGCAGCAGGACGACAGGAGGAGCGACGAUGAGACGAUGGCGACUUGGCUUGGUCCUGCCCGUGCUGAUGUUGGGCGCGGGGGUCGCGUGGGCACAGACCACCGGAUCGAUCGUGGCGUGGGGUGCUGGAACUACCGAUACCGGGCAGUUCCCGGAGUACGGCCAGUGCCUUGUUCCGGCGCCCAACAGCGGUUUCGUCGCCGCCGCCGGGGGCUGGUUUCACAGUCUUGGCCUGAAGUCCGACGGGUCGAUCGUGGCGUGGGGAAGCAACUACGACUUCUACGGCAACUACACUGGUCAAUGCGAUGUUCCGUCGCCGAACACGGGCUUCAUGGCGGUCGCGCCGGGUGGGAUUCACAGUCUCGGCCUGAAAACGAACGGCUCAAUCGUGGCGGGAGAGC
rnacentral:rRNA from 1 species